rnacentral:lncRNA from 1 species
CUCCUCUCUCUCUCUCUCUCUCUCUCUCUCUCUCUCUCCUCUCUCCUCUCCUCUCUCUCUCUCUCUCUCCUCUCUCUCUCUCCCUCUCUCUCUCCUCUCUCUCUCUCUCUCCUCUCUCUCUCCCUCUCUCUCUCUCUCUCCUCUCUCUCUCCUCUCUCUCUCUCUCUCUCUCUCUCUCUCCUCUCUCUCUCCUCUCUCUCUCCCUCUCUCUUUCUCUCUCUCUCUCUCUCUCCCUCUGCCUCCUCUCCUCUCUCUCUCUCCCUCUCUCUCUCCUCUCUCUCUUUCUCUCUCUCUCUCUCUCUCCCUCUGCCUCCUCUCCUCUCUCUCUCCUCUCUCUCUCCCUCUCUCUGUCUCUCUCCCUCUGCCUCCUCUCCUCUCUCUCUCCCUCUUUCUGUCUCUCUCUCUCUCCCUCUGCCUCCUCUCCUCUCCUCUCUCUCUCCCUCUCUCUUUCUGUCUCUCUGCCCACACUUUGGAUUAUAUCAACACACAGGACACACACAGCGGAGCUGCACAGGGGCUGAACUGUGCUGAUGUGAGGUCGGAUGAUCGCUCAGGUUUUCUGCUGGGUGGAAACAUGUCGGUGAGCUGGAGCUUCAAACUUUUCACCUGGAAGCUGCAGAAUCUUUGGUGACUGUAUGAACGGACUGGAUUUGAAAUCAAAAAGCAUUUCAAUAGUUAUUGUGUCAUCUCAUCAAGAAGAGAAGUUAAUUGGGAUUGUAUUUCCACUCAGAUUAUCAUGGAAUAACUGCUUCUCUUCUGGAGGAGUUGGAAGCUGCUGCUCUGAAAACAUGGACAGCUUUAACUACACGGACGAUGGAGGACAGUCCUUCCAGUUUCUGGUUCAUAAUGUGGAGCCUCUGUACAAGGAGUACAAGCCUCCGCCCAGGGACCUCAUCCAGCUGCCCAAGUCGGUGGUGUACCUCCUGAUGGCCGCCCUGGUGGUGGUCGCUGUUGCCUACGCCAUCGUGGGUCACCUCAUCAAAGAUCUCAUGCUGGAUAUCACAGACUGCUUGCUGGGUCCGAUUGAUGACGAGCUGAAGAAAGACGGGGACGUGGAGGGAGUCAGCCCCCUCCACCUGCCACCCAACCUGAGCCACUCCCACCCGAAUGCCUUCCACGUGUGGGACCAGGACGACAUCAUCAUCCCCAUGACGCCCGACCACGGCGGCCAGCUGUCCAGCCCUUUGAUGUCCGUCAUCCCAUACAUACCUUCAUUUUUCCCCAACUCCCUCAGCAUUAGCAGCCCGUCCUACAACCUGCCGCUCCCGAAGGAGAGCGAUGCAUGAGGUCCUCUACAUCUCAGCGAGGGUCACACAAACACCAUGACCUGCAAGACUGUUUUAUUGACUACAAGCCGUGAUGAAGGCCAGUCUGCCUGCAUGCUUUAGCUUCUGUUGGCAGCAGCUUUGUGAGCAGCCUGGGAGCCUCGGCCUUCACUCGUUGCUUUUCCUAGUGGAUUUGUGCCAAGUUAGCGCCCU